rnacentral:rRNA from 1 species
AUUGAACGCUGGCGGAAUGCUUUACACAUGCAAGUCGAACGGCAGCACGGACUUCGGUCUGGUGGCGAGUGGCGAACGGGUGAGUAAUGUAUCGGAACGUGCCCAGUCGUGGGGGAUAACGUAGUGAAAGUUACGCUAAUACCGCAUACGAUCUAUGGAUGAAAGCGGGGGAUCGCAAGACCUCGCGCGAUUGGAGCGGCCGAUAUCAGAUUAGGUAGUUGGUGGGGUAAAGGCACACCAAGCCAACGAUCUGUAGCUGGUCUGAGAGGACGACCAGCCACACUGGAACUGAGACACGGUCCAGACUCCUACGGGAGGCAGCAGUGGGGAAUUUUGGACAAUGGGCGAAAGCCUGAUCCAGCCAUUCCGCGUGCAGGAUGAAGGCCCUCGGGUUGUAAACUGCUUUUGUACAGAACGAAAAGGUUUCUACUAAUACUAGGAGCUCAUGACGGUACUGUAAGAAUAAGCACCGGCUAACUACGUACCAGCCGCCGCCGUAA